UAAGACAGAGGUGCCAAGCGUUAGGCGGAAUCACUGGGCUUAAAGCGUGUGUAGGCGGGCGGGCAAGUACCUUGUGAAAUCCCACGGCUCAACCGUGGAACGGCUGGGUAUACUGCCUGUCUUGAGCCAGCUAGGGGCGACCGGAACAGACGGUGGAGCGGUGAAAUGCGUAGAUAUCGUCUGGAACGCCAAAGGUGAAAACAGGUCGCUGGGGCUGAGCUGACGCUGAGACACGAAAGCCAGGGGAGCGAACGGGAUUAGAUACCCCGGUAGUCCUG
rnacentral:rRNA from 1 species